rnacentral:rRNA from 1 species
GCCUAUGGCCAUACUCCCCUGAAUGUGCCUGAUCUUGUCUGAUUUUGGAAGCUAAGCAGGGUCGGACUUGGUUAGUACUUGGAUGGGAGACCACCUGGGAAUGCUGGGUGCUGUAGGCU